ACUUGAGCAACUUAAGAUGGGCAUAACCUUCUGUCUCUCUCUUUCAUUUCCAUAUUAUAAUGCAAGUUAUUGAAGUUCUUCUCUUUGUCUUUUAUUCCCCUGCUCAAACGUUUUUAAUGAUUUUCAGAAUUUUGUUGCAAGUUAUAGAUUACACAUUAUCAUGUGGACUACCAUUUAAUAAUUACUGUCUUGCCUCUUAUGAGACAGUGAAGGGUGUUCCCAAGUUGUGGUAGACAGGGUGUGUUCCUCUUUGCUUGUGAUACUACCAGUACUAGUUUUCAUUGGUCCUAAGGUGCAUAUUUUAGCAUUGCCGAAAUCCAGAAGUGUCUUAAAAUUGCUGGUGACCAGGUGUCAGCUGUGACGUAUUAUCAUUGCCUGCACCUGUGCAACUUUGAUGUUAUUGGCAUGGCGUGACUGGUUAGCUGUACUCCCUGGCUUUUCAGUUAAUAAAUAAUUUAAGGACAUUUUGAGAAAGAAGCAUGAAUCCUGGCUGUUGUCUGAAAACUUUUCAUUGAUGGAU
rnacentral:lncRNA from 1 species